GUAUGCCUGUUCGAGCGCCGUUUGCAUACUGAGGCUCCGCCUUGCGAUGAUCCCCUCCGCCAAAGGAGCCGAUCGAAACGCGUUGGCGCCACGUCGGGGCCCAAGCGCAGUGAAAAUGCGUGGAAGCCGCGGAGUGGCGCCCGAGCAAACAAAAUCCAAAGCAUGGCCUCGGAUCAGGUAGGGAUACCCGCUGAACUUAA
rnacentral:misc_RNA from 1 species